GUUCGAGCGCUGAGGUGUACACCAGGCAAGCAGCUACGGCACUGAGGGACGCAAGGUAGUCGAGUACGGCGGGUAGGUAGGCACCUACAUUUGUACAGAGCUACAGGAAAGGGCAAUAGUUGCGUCGUUAAGCAGCGGCAGACGAAAUUACUUUUGCGUUCUGGUAUGAGAGCUCCACGGACCGGAGCAGGGCUUCAAGGUACGUUCGCGUGCAGAGCCUCCUGGAAAGAAUCGGAGACGUACUUUACGCCAUUGUGUGCUGAAUCUGAUAGAAUAAAGUCUCUCGGAAGGCAUCCGUCAGGUUCAUGCGCUAGGGCUUGACACACUCCUGGAGCUAUCGGUUGCACCACAUUUGAGGAGGCUGCACGGUAAACGUUCGCCUUGGAUACUUGUUUUCAGGUAUUGAGACACGCCUAUGAACUGCUCUGGGUUGCGCACUCUGUUCUAGAAGCAGUGCAACCGUGCUGGGAGGACUGCCACUGCACACUCGACGGCUUCGCGAGGUGUGGCGCUGCUCUCUACCGGGCGGUAGCGCUUGCUCCUUGACUGUCGCUGUUCAGCGCAGCCUAGGUACCAAAGAUAACUGGCCAUAGCUAUUGCUUUCUAUCCACGCGCACUGGAAUCGAUGAUUUGGCAUCUGCGUUGCACCGAAAGCGAAACCUGUGCGUAGCAGGCACGGAGUGCUGCGUCCUGCUCGCGUCCGAGGUUGUUGUUGGAUGGGUGCGGCUUGUGCAGCGUUGGAAAGUUUGCCGAUUCCACCAGAUGGGUCUCUACUCAUUCGGUUGUCCAGGCAACACAGAGCGAAUACCGGGCAACGCGUGUGAUCGUUUCUCAUCGUACGACUGCCUCCGUCACACUGCAUCAAACAUUAAGCAUGCAUGCUACCCGGUAAGGUGCCGGAAGGCGAAUCAGUCUUAUGCGAAGCGCCACUCAGACUCGGCGUCUGAAGCAUUUUAUGACACAGACAGCCGAAAAGCGCCGAAUCGGAGAUACUGGUUGGAGAUUUCAUUGCGUUCGCCACGUAUCCCGGGGUAGUUGCCAGAGUUGUGCAUUGCAGCAUAGCUGCUGCUUUACCUCCGUACGGAAUUUGCUCCUUCCUCGGGUGAUGCAUGUCGAUAUCUUACCGCGAAUGUAACCGAUGCGACGUAUGAUGCAGAAUGCUAGCGCAGCGGCUCCCCGGCAGACCGGAGCAUUAUGGCGCACCCCCCCCCCCACGGGAGAUCAAGUCAUUCGCUUGUGAGGCAAUCGCGCUCCAGAGCUCGAGUCAUGUUUAUUGACUGAAGGUGGAUGUAUGUGAUCAGAUGCUCCCGUAUGUGUGUGUAUGGCCAGCUUCAGUCGUUUCGAUGACGCUAACACUUCGCGGAUGAUUAAGCACAAACAAUAUUUGCUACUCUUGAGCUUGAACUAAGCGAUGACGAGAUGCUACGCUGAAUGACGCGAUGCGUUAGCUCCAUAGUGGCGAUAAUCGCGAUGCAUUGCCUGCGAUCCAUAUCAUCAGGCGGGCAAACAUGUCGUGUUUAGGCUACGGCCAGUGCUGUACGCGGAAACAUCGAAAUGAUCGAUCGAAGCGCAAGAGUCGGGCGCUGUUCGUGUAGCCAGUGCGCAGCAAAGUCGACCUUUCAUGUCGCAGGCCACACCGAAGCUCAGCAGGCUGUCUGGGAGCGCUUUCUGCGGACUGGAUAGAGCAUGCACCAUGGAACGUGACGCGCCACGCCACCCGCCCAGCGGAAAUAGUGUUUGAAAUGAAGCGAACGCUUUGCGAAUAGCGUUGCCUACACGAGCAAGCAUCAUGCGACGAACCCGUCGGCCUGACUGUUUUCGACUAGUACAUUUUCCCAGACGGUAGGCGAGCAGAUACGCUGCGUAAAAUCAAAUAACAAAACC